GGAUGUGAGGGCGAUCUGGCUGCGACAUCUGUCACCCCAUUGAUCGCCAGGGUUGAUUUGGCUGAUCUGGCUGGCUAGGCGGGUGUCCCCCUCCUCCCUCACCGAUCCAUGUGCGUCCCUCCCGAAGCUGCGCGCUCGGUGGAAGAGGACGACCUUCCCCCCCAAGGAGAGGACCGGUCUUCGGUCAAGGGUAUACGAGUAGCUGCGCUCCCCUGCUAGAACCUCCAAACAAGCUCUCAAGAAUAAAAGCACAGUGAUUUGUUGUGGGGUACAAAGAUCCCACAGCCUUUUAAAAAUAGCUUGGGCCCUGAUGCAGUAGAGUUCACUUCU
rnacentral:snRNA from 1 species